rnacentral:rRNA from 1 species
GCAUAUCAAUAAGCGGAGGAAAAGAAACCAACAGGGAUUACCUCAGUAACGGCGAGUGAAGCGGUAACAGCUCAAAUUUGAAAUCUGGCCUCACGGUCCGAGUUGUAAUUUGUAGAGGAUGCUUCGAGCAUGGUCUGGCCUAAGUUCCUUGGAACAGGACGUCAUAGAGGGUGAGAAUCCCGUAUGCGGCCAGGUGCCUACGCUCAUGUGAAGCUCCUUCGACGAGUCGAGUUGUUUGGGAAUGCAGCUCAAAAUGGGUGGUAAAUUUCAUCUAAAGCUAAAUAUUGGCCAGAGACCGAUAGCGCACAAGUAGAGUGAUCGAAAGAUGAAAAGCACUUUGGAAAGAGAGUUAAACAGUACGUGAAAUUGUUGAAAGGGAAGCGCUUGCAACCAGACUUGCGCGCGGCCGAUCAUCCGGUGUUCUCACCGGUGCACUCGGCCGUGCUCAGGCCAGCAUCGGUUUUGGCGGCUGGAUAAAGGCCCUAGGAAUGUAGCUCCUCUCGGGGAGUGUUAUAGCCUAGGGUGCAAUGCAGCCUGCUGGGACCGAGGACCGCGCUUCGGCUAGGAUGCUGGCGUAAUGGUUGUAAGCGGCCC